UUUAAAUCAAAUGGGAUUGGUGUGCAUAUAGUCAUUAAAGAUAGCAGAGCAGCAGCAGUGUGCUUGGGUAGUGUCUGGUGUGUUUGGGUAUUGACCUUGUUCUGGAAGAGCAGCAGGAGCAGUAUUUCUUCUGGUCUGGACUUGGUUCUUGAUCUGUUGCAGUGUGCUUUUUGUGUCUAUUGAUUUGUUAGCCUUGGGUGAUUUUGAUUAGAAUAGCAGUAUGGUUCUGAGCCUCUUAUUUUCCUCAAUGAGUUUUUUUUUCCUUGAUGCCUACCACUAAUGCAAGGAUCAAUAUUCUCUUCACUACUACAUGAUUCAUGUCAAAUAUACUCUAACAAAAGCAAAACUGUUAAACUGUUAGUUUUUAGAGUUUUUAGAGUCCCCCCCACUAAUAAAACAAGUUCACCUAUACAAAUGUAUGGCAUUUCUGAGGAAUAGAUGGAGAGAUUCUAAGACAUGGAAAUAAAUCAAUAAACCAAAAACACAUGAAUAGAUCGGUAAAAACCAGACAAUUGAGAGAUAAGAAGCACAGAAAAAUGAAGUAAAAAACAGAGAACCAACUUCAAAUGAUGAAAAUGUUAAUGCAGAGAGAGAGAGAGAGAGAGAGAGAGAGAGAGAGAGAAACCUAAAAUGCGAAAUCAGAUGAUUGAUCCUCGAACAGGAGAGAUUGCUUCGGGCAAUGUGGUUGAGAGAUGUCUAUAUACCUAAAAUCUCCACAAUUUCAACAGGAGAGAUUAGUAAGAAUCAACCACAAUCUAACACAAUAAUAUUAGUCAGUCCAAAUUAAUACAAACAAACAACUGUGGUCAUUGCACUCCAAGAUCAAAAAAUAAUAUUUAAAAAAAAUGCUCAUAAUGUGGAGAGCAAAAGGAUUUUUUUUCAUCCAUUAAACAUGGGAUGCACUCAAUUCUCAAUCAUUUCAUCCACUUAUUGAUAGUGACAAAGCUGUUUCAACUGUUUAUAUUCUCAAGCUACAAUUGAAAGUACAUUUCUGGUAGUAUUGAUUGAUUUCUUUCUGUUCAACAUCAACUUGUUCUAGAUUAGCUGUUUGAGCAUAGUUAAGCUGAUAAUGGUGCAUUACACUAUGUCGUUUCUAGUUCUUUACAUUUCUUUUGGUUGUUCAGUAUCAGCAGCCAAACUAGAUUGAAACACAAGCACCAUUCUCCUCCGCUAUCCCAAAUUUCACAACCCCUUUCUCCUCCACCUGAACCUUCCGACCCAACUACUGGUGGGACUUCUUACAAUUCAAGUACUGGCAUUUUUUAUGUAUGAAAAUUUGGUGCUGUGGGGGAUGGAAUAACAGAUGACACAGAGGCAUUCAAAAUAGCAUGGGACAUGGGCUGCUUAUUUGAGUCAGGGGUCCUCCUUGUUCCCUACCGUUAUUCCUUCAUGAUUCAAUCCACAAUUUUCACUGGUCCUUGUCAGAGUGGUUUUGUGUUCCAAGUUGAUGGCACUCUUAUGCCACCAUAUGGACCUGAUUUGUGGCUAGAUAGUUACAGGAAGCACCAAUGGCUUAUCUUCUACAGAAUCAAUGAAAUAUCACUGCAAGGAGGCGGUCUAAUAGAUGGGAGAGGAAAGAAAUAGGGGGAUCUUCCUUGCAAACCCCACAAGAUUGGCAAUGGAUGGAAUAUAGUUCGGGGAGCAUCAAAGGAUUACAUUUUGAAUUUUUGGAUAUAUUUUGUCAUAGAUUUUUGUAAUGAAUUUGCAAGCUUGGAAGAUUUUUUGGAAUUACAUGUUUGAAGUUUUUUUCACAUGUUUGACAAAUUGGCAAUGGAUGAAAUAUAGUUCGAGGAGCAUUAAAGGAUUACAUUUUGAAUUUUUUGAUAUAUUUUGUCCUAGGUUUUUGUUAUGAAUUUGCAAGCUUAUAAGGUUUUUGG